rnacentral:tRNA from 1 species
GGGGUUGUGGCUCAGCGGUAGAGCACUCUCCUAGCAUGUGUGUGGCACUGGGUUUGAUCCUCAGUACCACA